GGCCGGGCCGGGAGGCGGAGCCGGUUGCGCUGGCGGCUCUGGGGCGGCUACUGGCCACGGGGCGAGCGGGGGAGCCUCAGCGCCGCCGGGACCCGCUCCGUCCCUCCGGGGAACCGCCGCAGCCUUGGAGAGAUUAAUGGUAAGGACACGAGGAUAGAGAGGGACCCCAGAGGAGGCCGGCACCCAGCAGCAAAGGUUGUCCAGCCUGGAUCCCGGCGCUGGGGACCCAAAGCAAGGACCCUGACUUGAUGCACGCCAAGUACGACCUGACUUCUUGAGGAGAAGGAGGAUUUCUCCAAAGGCCUGUCCCCUCAAAGCAGGACGCAGGACAAGCUUGGCUGGAAAGAGAUACAUGGGACACACAGAGAAUUAAAGGCUGGAAUAGGCACUCUGCUUCAAGUCCCAGGAUUUGUGAAGGAAGGACUGAACCAAGGAGCCUGAAGACCAUGGAGGGCGACUGUCUGAGCUGCAUGAAGUACCUGAUGUUCCUUUUCAACUUCUUUAUAUUUGUAAGUAUUAAGAAUCUGCU